UCCAAUAAAUUAAAUAAUUGAUACAAGUCCAACUUUUAAAAAUAUAAAUUAUGGGCUAUACAACUUGAAUAAAAUACAGAGGAUCUUGAAGCCCAAAUGAAUUUAAUUAAAUCGUACCCUACCCUAAUUCUGAGCCCAAAGACCCCUCCCAACUUAUUUUACGCUAGAAUCAAUCUUCCUCCUCUGUUUCAUGAGUUACUCCAUAAUCUUCAAAAUCUUUCCAAAUUUUAGACCACAAUUGAAUCAAUUGAAAUCAAUCACCAAAAGUUGCUUAUUCAAUAACCGGCUAUAUAAUUCCUCUACCCUAACCCUCUGCAAAAUCACAACUCCCUCACGGCGGCGGAGGAAGCAGCGAAACAAGUUCAUCUUCCAACCCACCAAUCAUAAUUUCACCACGGCAGAGACCGAGGGAGGAUAAAAACAGGAGCCACUAUUUGUUGUUGAAGGUUGAGCGGCGACGAGUUUGGGGUGGUAUUGAGUCGAACCUGAAUUGUUGUUGGAUUUUAUUUUUGAACUCCGAGGGUCUCGUGUCUACAUACAUGGCGUCACUCUUACUCUUGAAUGCUUCUGCUGAAAUGGGAGUACUAUUUUUUUUGAAAUUAUAUUUUGAACCCCUAGGCCUGUCAAAUAAUACCCGCGGAUACUCGAUCCGAAAAUGAUUUCAGGUACCCAAAUACCCGACUCGGGUAACCG